GGAAGUAAAAGGUCGUAACAAGGUCUCCGUUGGUGAACCAGCGGAGGGAUCAUUACCGAGUUUACAACUCCCAAACCCAAUGUGAACGUUACCAAACUGUUGCCUCGGCGGGAUCUCUGCCCCGGGUGCGUCGCAGCCCCGGACCAAGGCGCCCGCCGGAGGACCAACCAAAACUCUUAUUGUAUACCCCCUCGCGGGUUUUUUUUAUAAUCUGAGCCUUCUCGGCGCCUCUCGUAGGCGUUUCGAAAAUGAAUCAAAACUUUCAACAACGGAUCUCUUGGUUCUGGCAUCGAUGAAGAACGCAGCGAAAUGCGAUAAGUAAUGUGAAUUGCAGAAUUCAGUGAAUCAUCGAAUCUUUGAACGCACAUUGCGCCCGCCAGUAUUCUGGCGGGCAUGCCUGUCCGAGCGUCAUUUCAACCCUCGAACCCCUCCGGGGGGUCGGCGUUGGGGAUCGGCCCUCCCUUAGCGGGGUGGCCGUCUCCGAAAUACAGUGGCGGUCUCGCCGCAGCCUCUCCUGCGCAGUAGUUUGCACACUCGCAUCGGGAGCGCGGCGCGUCCACAGCCGUUAAACACCCAACUUCUGAAAUGUUGACCUCGGAUCAGGUAGGAAUACCCGCUGAACUUAAGCAUAUCAAUAAGCGGAGGA
rnacentral:rRNA from 1 species